UGAACUUGCAGCUCAGCUGCCUCUGUAAACAGGACAGCCCCAUAAAUCACCCAAGGUCUGAAUGAGGAACUGGGGGAGACAUAAAUGUGCAAGAGAAGAGGAAGGGGGUCCUCAUACUUGCUCUGUGGUUGUUUCCAUGGACUCAGCUGCUUCCAGAGGCCCCAAGGAAACCCAAGUCCGAACCCUAAUGUAAUACUGGGAACAAACAGCAAUGGAAACAUUGAAGAGAUUUGUAUGUAUCUGUCAUGUCCCAGACCAGGUUCAACAUAUUAUCAUGAGCUCCAGUUCUUUGUACUUUGAUGCAGAGUCAAGAGAAGCAGCUCAAACUUACACAGCCAAAAAUGAAGUACAAAAUGAAACAUCAUAAAAAUGAAUAGAAGUUGGUAAGGCUACUGUUUUGAUCUAACAAAGAAAUCUUCCUAGAGAAAUCUGUGAAAGUGCAUCUAUUCUCCGUCAUGUAAUUCUUUGUGGAAGCACCAUCUCAGAGUACGUACGUGCAUACACGCAUGUGUGUAGAGGCACUUUAAAUGCUUUAAUUGUACACUACUCUCUUUCUCUCCCAAAGGUAAAAUGGGAAUCAUUUGAAUAGAUUGCUGUCAAUUCAGUGGUCUAAACACUUAAAUCCUUCUCCGCAAACUGACUGCAUUUGAACUGGACAUACAUAUUUUUUCCUAAAGUGAUCAAAGAAAAAAUAGUUGAAAAUUGAAGCUAUUUCCAUUUUUAAAAUAUGUUUAACAGUAUAAUUGCUGCUAAACCUGCUCUUCCCCCCAAUCAAAGAGAGAGAGAAAGAGAACAUUUGAGGAUAUGAAAUGUCAUUGAAGCUCUGAGAAAAAAAAUAUUGAACUGCUCUGUAACUAGCAAAGCAUUGCUAUAGCAAAACACAUACUAGUGAGUUGGAAUCAUAUCAUUCUGAGCAUCUGCACUACUCCUCCUUGGAGAGUGCAUACUAAUCAUCUCUCUUCAUGGUCAGUAACCACAUAAGGACAACACCAGACGAUGCCAGUGGUUUUGGUCCUGUAGCAUUUAUAUGCUUUCCUGCAAAGAUAGUCAUGCCAGAUAAUAUUCGUCAACCUUGUCUUUGGUCUUCUCUCUUGAUUGAGGCAGAUGUUUAUUUUCCAUCUGCACUAUAUGUCAGUGCAACUGCAGCCUUCAUCUGGCAAAGGGUGCCUGUAAUAUUAUGAGGCCAUCGCAUAAGCUGCUGGAAAGAUUACUCUUGUGAAUAAAAUCAGUUUAUGGCUAAAAACAUUUAUUCUUCAUUUUGAUAAGCCCUUAACAAAUGAAAAUUUGCUUCCUUACACUUUUGCCAAGCAUAGGACCGUGUUUAUUUCUAGCUAUAUGGGUCACGAAGGAUUCCCAGCUGUUAGAUAGAGUCAGUUGUGCAUUGCUGCACUCAACAACAUCUGUUUCACAAAAACAGUAUCCAGCUUUUAGCGCUCAAAUGGAGGUUAUACCAUAUGCCAGCAGACCACUUAGUUUUUACCUUGGGAACCAACUUUACACUAGUCAAGGUAACAGAGGAAGUACUGAGUAUUUAAAUGCUACCAGGCUUCAGUCACAUCUUCAUGUGCUCUUGUCAUUUCCAACUAUAUAUAGUAAAAUUAGUUCCAAGCAUAUACUGCAAGCUGUUCCUCUGUUUAAUUAUUAACUGGAAGAAAGUUUGUUUGCAAAACAGUUAAAAUGUUUUUUGUGAUAGAUUCUGAUGUUGAAAGUGGUGCCAUAAGAUGCUUCUGCAAAUACAGAACCUUGUUAAAAUGUCAAAUAAUAUCAGCUAUCAACAAAGGCAGAUCAGGUUGAAUACCCUUUAACUACUGAGUAGUGCUAAAAAGCCAUACUACCAUGGUGCUCUUCAGAGUCUCACAAAACAUUCAAAAUGCCUGGCAGUGUUAUAUUACCAGGAUGUUGGCUAUUAUGAUUUAUGUUGUUCCACCAACUGUCUUCUAUACUCUCAUUUGGUUUUAAUCACUUAAUGGGUCUCUAGAAAUAAAGUUUUAAAAAUAGAUAGAUAAAUUAGAUCAAAGGAAAUGCCAGUGAUGGGUGAAUCAUUCUCUAAGAGGAAUACCAAAGCAUUUUCUGCCCUUAAUGGUGGUGGGAGGACAGUUGUUGCUGGUAACAUUGCACAGUAUUAUAUUGCAGUUAGUGAUGCAGCAAGGCAGGUUUUCUAGACAAUUAUUCAUUUUUAUCAUAAAUGUUUUGUUGCAAAAUUCAUUCCUUAAUGCCUACUAAGAUGUUUCCAAUAGCACAUAGAUUAAUUUUGGCAUGUAUUCCAAAAUAUACUUUAUUAUACUUAACUCUACCAAACAGUAGAGUGAAAAUAUGGAUUAUACCAAUGAACUGAAUGAUUGAGUUAGCUUCCAUAAACAUAAUAUUACUUAUAGAUACUUUAAUUGGCUGCAGCAUGGUAAUUGCUCAUUGAAUAAAAGCCAAUCAUGAUACUACAGGCCACUUUACUCUAAAUCCCAUCCUUAAUUUGAAAAAUUAGGAACAAAAUGAGUUAAGCUAAAAUAUAGAACAGUUUAUUUACC